GACGAACGCUGGCGGCGUGCUUAACACAUGCAAGUCGAACGGAAAGGCCCUGCUUUUGUGGGGUGCUCGAGUGGCGAACGGGUGAGUAACACGUGAGUAACCUGCCCUUGACUUUGGGAUAACUUCAGGAAACUGGGGCUAAUACCGGAUAGGAGCUCCUGCUGCAUGGUGGGGGUUGGAAAGUUUCGGCGGUUGGGGAUGGACUCGCGGCUUAUCAGCUUGUUGGUGGGGUAGUGGCUUACCAAGGCUUUGACGGGUAGCCGGCCUGAGAGGGUGACCGGCCACAUGGGGACUGAGAUACGGCCCAGACUCCUACGGGAGGCAGAAGUGGGGAAUAGUGAACAAUGGGCGGAAGCCUGAUGCAGCAACGCCGCGUGCGGGAUGACGGCCUUCGGGUUGUAAACCGCUUUCGCCUGUGACGAAGCGUGAGUGACGGUAAUGGGUAAAGAAGCACCGGCUAACUACGUG
rnacentral:rRNA from 1 species